UGUGUGUGUACAUGUACAUGUGA
rnacentral:miRNA from 1 species